rnacentral:rRNA from 1 species
UAAGGAGGGGGAUAGCGUUGGUCGGAAUUACUGGGCGUAAAGCGCACGUAGGCGGACUGGAAAGUCAGAGGUGAAAUCCCAGGGCUCAACCUUGGAACUGCCUUUGAAACUCCCGGUCUUGAGGUCGAGAGAGGUGAGUGGAAUUCCGAGUGUAGAGGUGAAAUUCGUAGAUAUUCGGAGGAACACCAGUGGCGAAGGCGGCUCACUGGCUCGAUACUGACGCUGAGGUGCGAAAGCGUGGGGAGCAAACAGG